rnacentral:rRNA from 1 species
CCCUUAGACGUUCUGGGCCGCACGCGCGCUACACUGACCAGUGCAACAAGCAUCCGUCCUUGGCCGACAGGCCCGGGCAAUCUUUGAACGCUGGUCGUGAUGGGGAUAGACUUUUGCAAUUUUUGGUCUUCAACGAGGAAUUCUUAGUAAACGCAAGUCAUCAACUUGCAUUGAUUACGUCCCUGCCCUUUGUACACACCGCCCGUCGCACCUACCGAUUGAAUGGUCCGGUGAAGCCUCCGGAUUGGCGCGCACCUCGGUGCCGCCGAGAAGUUGGCUAAACCUUACCAUUUAGAGGAAGGUGAAGUCGUAACA